rnacentral:rRNA from 1 species
GAUGAACGCUGACAGAAUGCUUAACACAUGCAAGUCAACUGUGGCGGACGGGCGAGUAACGCGUAAAGAACUUGCCUCUCAGCUAGGGACAACAUUUGGAAACGAAUGCUAAUACCUGAUACUGUGAGAGAGCUUUGCGUCCCAUUAGCUAGUUGGAGAGGUAACGGCGCACCAAGGCGAGGAUGGGUAGCCGGACUGAGAGGGUGAUCGGCCACAAGGGGACUGAGACACGGCCCGUACUCCAUCGGGAGGCAGGAGUGGGGAAUUUUGGACGAUGGACCAAAGUAUGAUCCAGCAAUUCGGUGUGCACAAUGAAGUUUUCGGGAUGAAAAGUGCUUUCAGUUGGGAAGCGGUACCAACAGAAGAAGUGACGGCUAAAUACGUGCCAGCAGCCGCGGUAAUAC